rnacentral:rRNA from 1 species
UAGGGAAUAUUGCAAAAUGGGCGAAAGCCCGAUGCAGCAACGCCGCGUGGGCGAUGAAGGCCUUCGGGUCGUAAAGCCCUUUUUGAGGGGAUGAGGAAGGACAGUACCCUCAGAAUAAGCCUCGGCUAACUACGUGCCAGCAGCCGCGGUAAAACGUAGGAGGCGAGCGUUAUCCGGAUUUACUGGGCGUAAAGCGCGUGCAGGCGGAUUGGAGAGUUGGAUGUGAAAGCUCCCGGCUUAACUGGGAGAGGUCGUUCAAUACUUCCAGUCUUGAGUGCAGUAGAGGGAAGUGGAAUUCCGGGUGUAGUGGUGAAAUGCGUAGAUAUCCGGAGGAACACCAGUGGCGAAAGCGGCUCCCUGGGCUGAAACUGACGCUCAGACGCGAAAGCUAGGGUAGCGAACG